rnacentral:rRNA from 1 species
UGGAAGUAAAAGUCGUAACAAGGUUUCCGUAGGUGAACCUGCGGAAGGAUCAUUACAGUGUCUGGCUGGGCGUCCCCUAGGGGUCGCCCGCUACUGACCACCCUUGCCUACCUAACCACUGUUGCUUCGGCAGGCCCGCUCCUGGUGCUCCCUAACCGGGGCCCGGGUGCGGCCUGGGGCCUGGCUUAACCGCCGCCCGGGUGAGCGCCUGCCGGGGGAUUAGUUGAAACACUUGUUGAUCAGUGAGAACUCUGAGUUGAUUGCAAAAUCGUUAAAACUUUCAACAACGGAUCUCUUGGUUCCAGCAUCGAUGAAGAACGCAGCGAAAUGCGAUAAGUAAUGUGAAUUGCAGAAUUCCGUGAAUCAUCGAAUCUUUGAACGCACAUUGCGCCCUCUGGUAUUCCGGGGGGCAUGCCUGUCCGAGCGUCAUUACACCAAUCAAGCACGGCUUGUGAGUUGGGUCACCGUCCCCUAAUAAGGACGGGCCCGAAACGCAGUGGCGGCGUCGCGGUUUCUCGAUCAGCCAGAGUGUAUGGGGAUUUCAUUCACACGCUCAAGGCCGGGACCGGCGCCAGUCGAUAACCAAACUAUUUAUCAAGGUUGACCUCGGAUCAGGUAGGGAUACCCGCUGAACUUAAGCAUAUCAAUAAGCGGAGGA